CCACUUGUGAGCCACGUAUAGUAAUUAAACAAUAUGAAAGUAGUUUUUGUGAUUUAAAAAAAAAAGUCAAACUGGAAAAAACAACGUAAUGAAAAUGGAAUUAGCGUUCUCGGUCACAUGAGAUUGAAAUUUUCUCUAUGAGCCAGUCACAAGUAAUUUAUUGACGGUCCCUUAACCGCACGAUUCAGCACGGGCUGACAUGCGCAGAAUGAGCUGAAACGCCGGGGUCAAACAGCAGACAUAUUCUACUUGUAACUAACUUCACCUCUGUCGAAGGAACACUGCUGUGAAGACUGUACGUGUACUCUUAGGAAGAGUCUUUUACCAUACACACAACAAAAGUAAGGUGCUGUGUGAGAUUAGGCAACAUAGAUUCUCCGGUUUCAUCCGUAAGUGACUCAGCAGCUCUGGAAGAUGCCAUUCAACACAACGAAACAGAUGACAACUUGAAAAAGCAUGGAGGUCUCCAACUUCUUUGUGUGUGGCUAGGUCAAGGAAAUUGGUAUCAAGACUCUACCGGAUAAACGAUGCAUAGUUUUUGCUCGGGCUACACAAGACAGCGUGGAGGUGAAUGACGGGGAAUAUUCAAAGACCAUCACAAUCUAAUCCAUUGGCUUCACCUGCGGAUCUUGCUCAGCGUCAGUCGUACGUGAGGAAACUUCUCCUUGAAGGUUUCGUUCAUGUCCUUCUUCAGGUCAGAUGGUUUGACGUACUCAAUGACCGUCGUCUGCCAAGACAGAAAAAAAUAGCUAAGUUACGAGAGUCAGGGAAAAGAAGAACGAGUCAUUUUUAAAUAUCUUUAAAACAAAAAAAUAUUUUGU